CCCCUAGAUGUUCUGGGCCGCACGCGCGCUACACUGAACAGUUCAACAAGUCUUAACCUUGGCCGAUAGGUCUGGGUAAUCUUUGAACGCUGUUCGUGAUUGGGAUAGACCUUUGCAAUUAUGGGUCUUCAACGAGGAAUUCCUAGUAAACGCAAGUCAUCAGCUUGCAUUGAUUACGUCCCUGCCCUUUGUACACACCGCCCGUCGCACCUACCGAUUGAAUGGUCCGGUGAAAUCUCGGGACGGCGGCUUGGUCGCUUGCGUCUGACUGCUGAAACUUGAUUAAACCAUAUCAUUUAGAGGAAGGUGAANUCGUANCA
rnacentral:rRNA from 1 species